GUCGGUGGGGUGGAUGACUAACUCAGGGGGUGGUAUCAGUAGGUGGGGUGGAUGACUAACUCAGGGGGUUGUAUCAGUCGGUGGGGUGGAUGACUAACUUAAGGGGUGGUAUCAGUCGGUUGGGUGGAUGACUAACUCAGAGGGUGGUAUCAGUCGGAAUGGUGGAUGACUAACUCAGGGGGUGGUAUCAGUCGGUGGGGUGGAUGACUAACUGAGGGGAUGGUAUCAGUCGGUUGGGUGGAUGACUAACUCAGAGGGUGGUAUCAGUCGGAAUGGUGGAUGACUAACUCAGGGGGUGGUAUCAGUCGGUGGGGUGGAUGACUAACUGAGGGGAUGGUAUCAGUCGGUGGGGUGGAUGACUAACUCAGAGGGUGGUAUCAGUCGGUGGGGUGAAUGAGUAUCUCAGGGGUUGGUAUCAGUCGGUGGGGUGGAUGACUAACUCAGGGAGUGCAUCAGUAGGUGGGGUGGAUGACUAACUCAAGGGGGGUGGUAUCAGUCGGUGGGGUGGAUGACUAACUCAGGGAGUGGUAUCAGUCGGUGGGGUGGAUGACUAACUCAGGGGUGGUAUGAAUCGGUGGGGUGGAUGACUAACUCAGGGGUGGUAUCAGUCGGUGGGGUGGAUGACUAACUCAGGGGGGUGGUAUCAGUCGGUGGGGUGGAUGACUAACUCAGGGGGUGGUAUCAGUGGGUGGAGUGGAUGACUAACUCAGGGGGUGGUAUCAGGUAUCAGUCGGUGGGGUGGAUGACUCACUCAGGGAGUGGUAUCAAUAGGUGGGUUGGAUGACUAACUCAGGGGUCGGUGUCAGUGGGUGGGGUGGAUGACUAACUCAGGGGGUGGUAUCAGUCGGUGGGGUGGAUGACUAACUCAGGGGCGGUAUCAGUCGGUGGGGUGGAUGACUAACUCAGGGGGUGGUAUCAGUCGGUAGGGUGGAUGACUAACUCAGGGGGCGGUAUCAGUCGGUGGGGUGGAUGACUAACUCAGGGGUGGUAUCAGUCGGGGGGAUGGAUGACUAACUAAGACCAAGCAGCUACUUUCACUGACUUUCGAAAACGUUUAGAUGACUUUUGCAUUCUGUUGUGUUCGACGGGGUGCCAAUACGUGAUAAUACUUUAUGGUUAAUAAUUCGGACACUAAGGUUCUUGUGAGGAAAACUGGUGACGGUUUGCAGGAGCGUCUCUUGUGUAUGUU